rnacentral:rRNA from 1 species
ACGCACGCUGGCGGCGUGCUUAACACAUGCAAGUCGCACGGAAAGGCCCUGCUUUUGUGGGGUGCUCGAGUGGCGAACGGGUGAGUAACACGUGAGUAACCUGCCCUUGACUUUGGGAUAACUUCAGGAAACUGGGGCUAAUACCGGAUAGGAGCUCCUGCUGCAUGGUGGGGGUUGGAAAGUUUCGGCGGUUGGGGAUGGACUCGCGGCUUAUCAGCUUGUUGGUGGGGUAGUGGCUUACCAAGGCUUUGACGGGUAGCCGGCCUGAGAGGGUGACCGGCCACAUUGGGACUGAGAUACGGCCCAGACUCCUACGGGAGGCAGCAGUGGGGAAUAUUGCACAAUGGGCGGAAGCCUGAUGCAGCAACGCCGCGUGCGGGAUGACGGCCUUCGGGUUGUAAACCGCUUUCGCCUGUGACGAAGCGUGAGUGACGGUAAUGGGUAAAGAAGCACCGGCUAACUACGU